rnacentral:rRNA from 1 species
UACGUAGGGUGCAAGCGUUAAUCGGAAUUACUGGGCGUAAAGCGUGCGCAGGCGGCUAUGCAAGACAGAUGUGAAAUCCCCGGGCUCAACCUGGGAACUGCAUUUGUGACUGCAUCGCUGGAGUGCGGCAGAGGGGGAUGGAAUUCCGCGUGUAGCAGUGAAAUGCGUAGAUAUGCGGAGGAACACCGAUGGCGAAGGCAAUCCCCUGGGCCUGCACUGACGCUCAUGCACGAAAGCGUGGGGAGC